GCUUCCGUAGCUCAGUUGGUUAGAGCUUCGUACUAAUACUUGCUACCACAAGUCUUGGUAAUGCGAAGGUCGCAGGUUCAAGCCCUGCCGGGAGCA